UGGUUAUAAAAUUUCACUUUACCGAAACGUUUCAAAUUUCAGACAUCAUUCAAUGAUGCCAGUGUCCUAUCCUGUACUAAUUUUCGUCGUAAUUUCAAUGUUUGUAAUUGCACAAGCACUUAGAACGCCAAACGAGUUACAGAAAAGUGAAUUAAUGUCAUUAUCCGAAGUAGACGGACGCAGGGGAGAUAGAUCAGAUUCGGACGUAGAGCCACAUCAGAGAGAGAAAAGA